GGGAGGCUCGCGGACCGGGACGGCUCUUCCUCGUGCUCUUUUCCUCCUCUUCCUCCACGCGGACCAUGGACGGGAAUCAGAGUGGGUUUCUUCUGUCUGCUGCUCUGCGAUCAUGAGCUCCUCCCACCUGCCCACAGUGGAUGGCACUGACAGGCUGUGUGUCUCUGAGCGUGCUCAGUUCGUCCCCUCCCGGGUCUUCACCUGCGUCAGCUA